rnacentral:rRNA from 1 species
UACGAAGGGGGGCUAGCGUUGCUCGGAAUCACUGGGCGUAAAGCGCACGUAGGCGGAUUGCUAAGUCAGGGGUGAAAUCCUGGAGCUCAACUCCAGAACUGCCUUUGAUACUGGCGACCUUGAGUCCGGGAGAGGUGAGUGGAACUGCGAGUGUAGAGGUGAAAUUCGUAGAUAUUCGCAAGAACACCAGUGGCGAAGGCGGCUCACUGGCCCGGUACUGACGCUGAGACGUGAAAGCGUGGGGAGCGAACAGG